CGGCCAGAGAUGGUCGCCCCCUUGUGGUCGGUGUACAGGUGGUGCAUGGUUGUCGUCAGCUCGUGUCGUGAGAUGUUGGGUUAAGUCCCGCAACGAGCGCAACCCUCGUUCUAUGUUGCCAGCGCGUUAUGGCGGGGACUCAUAGGAGACUGCCGGGGUCAACUCGGAGGAAGGUGGGGAUGACGUCAAAUCAUCAUGCCCCUUAUGUCUUGGGCUUCACGCAUGCUACAAUGGCCGGUACAAAGGGCUGCGAUACCGUAAGGUGGAGCGAAUCCCAAAAAGCCGGUCUCAGUUCGGAUUGAGGUCUGCAACUCGACCUCAUGAAGUCGGAGUCGCUAGUAAUCGCAGAUCAGCAACGCUGCGGUGAAUACGUUCCCGGGCCUUGUACACACCGCCCGUCAAGUCAUGAAAGUCGGUAACACCCGAAGCCGGUGGCCUAA
rnacentral:rRNA from 1 species